rnacentral:rRNA from 1 species
CCUACGGGUGGCAGCAGUGGGGAAUAUUGCACAAUGGGGGAAACCCUGAUGCAGCGACGCCGCGUGCGUGAAGAAGUAUUUCGGAACGUAAAGCUCUAUCAGCAGGGAAGAAAAUGACGGUAACUGACUAAGUAGCCCCGGCCAACUACGUGCCAGCAGCCGAGGGAAUACGUAGGGGGCGAGCGUUACCCGGAUUUACUGGGUGUUAAGGGAGCGUAACCGGCAGCGCAAGUCUGGAUGUAAAUCCCAUGGCUUAACCAUGGAACUGCUUUGGAAACUGGGCAGCUAGAGUGCAGGAGAGGUAAGCGGAAUUCCUAGUGUAGCGGUGAAAUGCGUAGAUAUUAGGAGGAACACCAGUGGCGAAGGCGGCUUACUGGACUGUAACUGACGUUGAGGCACGAAAGCGUGGGGAGCAAACAGGAUUAGAUACCCCUGUAGUC